GCGUUCUCGGGCGUCACCCGUGUACAGACGACAGUGCAUAGCUAGGUCAAGGUGUAUCGGGGCUAACCCACGAUCUGACUUAUUAGAGAUCUGUACAGUAACAAAACGAUCUCGUAUAGGACGUCGGGACACGGAAAACAAUGUCUGACGAGUUUACAGAAAGUUGGAUUAAGCACAGAUAUGAUGUUUGAACACGAGUUUCACCGCGUUUGAAAAGACGUUACUGUCCGUACAUGACGUCAACCAAUUGACGUCCGAUGAUUUCAUUGAUGUGUUUGGUAACGUGGUGGAACACUGUUCACUGUGUGCGGCCGCUGUGUGGCAGCACCGUCCGUUCACGGACGUACAUCACAUACACAAGCUCGUGUGUGACUUCCUAGAUAAUAUUCCUUAUGAUGGUAAACAAGGGGUCCUCCGCUUGCAUCCAGAUCUUGCCGGGAAGGUCGCAGGCCUAGGAGGCCUAACGGUGGAAUCACAGAACGAGCAGAAGGCUGCUGGGAUUGAUAGUCUAACUCCGGCUGAAAAAGAAACCAUCCGAGAGAGAAACAAAAGCUACAGGAACAAAUUUGGUUUCCCGUUUGUCAUAUGUGCUCGUAAAAACAAAAAGGAGGCCAUUUUGGGUGGUCUGAAGCUUCGGUUGCAGAAUGAUAUUACAGAAGAAGUGCUGAACGGGGUGGAACAAGUAAAACUGAUUGCGUUGUUGAGGCUGUUGAGCAUUGUGGAGGAAUGAGUUUGUUACGGUCAUUGUUGAACAUUGAUAACAUUACGGAAACAAUUACCAUUAAUAUAGAAGUCAAACGUAGGAUGUAUGGUUACGACAAAAUUGUUCCAUAGUUAGAGUUUACCAAUUAAAAAGCCAGCUUACUAACAACUGAUCGUGACCUAAAUGUAUGUUGUCGAUGAUAUAUUUUAACAAGGGUCUUAUAACAGGAGGUCGGAUAACACAAAAGUAACACGCUUACCUAUAUGGCCGGGGUUAGAUUUCCCGAUCAAUAUGGACAAGUAUUGGUCAUCUAUCUCAUCGCUUGGGUUGUCUCCGGGUACCUGAUUUCUUCCCAAUGAAAGGACCCUCAUGUGCUUACAGCCGGGCCAAUCAGGGUGAUCAAUAUACGUUGAUGUAACUUGUUCCGCAAUUGAAUAAAGUUUACAGUUAUAAAAGUAAACUAUAUUGUUUGGCGAGACUUCCUGUCAAUAUUAAAUUCAAAUUCCUAAAGAU